UACGAAGGGGGCUAGCGUUGCUCGGAAUCACUGGGCGUAAAGCGCACGUAGGCGGCUUCUUAAGUCAGGGGUGAAAUCCUGGAGCUCAACUCCAGAACUGCCUUUGAUACUGGGAGGCUCGAGUCCGGGAGAGGUGAGUGGAACUGCGAGUGUAGAGGUGAAAUUCGUAGAUAUUCGCAAGAACACCAGUGGCGAAGGCGGCGCACUGGCCCGGUACUGACGCUGAGGUGCGAAAGCGUGGGGAGCAAACAGG
rnacentral:rRNA from 1 species